UAUUUACCUUUUGAUCUUUAUGUAUUGUUGGAAAUGGAUUGAGCCCAAUGCUUCUUUAUUUUUCCUUACAUCUCCUUGUUUCCCGUGCUUCUCUCACUCUCACUCUCCCAUAUCUUCAUUUCAUAGUAGAACUAUGUGCUAUUUUUAUCAGUCGAGGGGGAGGAGAAGAGAGAGAAGAAGCGCUUCUUCUUCUGUAUGGCAGUGGAAACACUACUCCGCCAAAAUCGAACAGAUCGUCAACCUUUUUCAAUGGCCCUGCUUUUGCAAAAGGUGAGGCCACUGUCACUACCCCCCCUGCUGUCCUCCCUCGCCGCUAUUGCCGCCACAGCUACCGCGUAGGACUAGACUAUACUGCCAAUUCUCAUUGAUUCUCGCAAUGAAUUUUCUCCGUGAAUCAACUUUCACAAUCUCCCUCUAUCACAGGACUUCUGUACGAUGUUGGCCAUGGGGCUUUCAGUCACUUAUUCGAAAGUGAAUUUCUUCCAAGUUACCAAAGGUGACGGGAACAAAUGUCAGUCAAUAUGGUAGAUUAUGUUGUCAAUGAACAUCACAUUAAUGUUGAUUCUGAGAUGAUAAAAGUAGUCCAGGAAAAAAAAAAGGAAUGAUGCUGACGCUUCAUUUGUCAUAUUGAGGCGUACAGAGACAUGAUUACUCCUGUAGUAGAUCCAUUUAAGUAUUUGAUUCAGGUCUGUACAAAUUCUUUAUUUCUUUCACUUUAUUCCCAUGUUCAUUGGAUCCAUCUAUCAGUGACAUCAGGUGGUCUGAUUAGUAUCUGCUUCAUUUGUUCUGAUUAUGAUGUCAAGAUGUAAAAUUAUUUUGUCUAUUCAUUUAUCUUUAUUCAACACCCAAAAUUUUUGGGAUAGAUAGUUCAUGAUUGGCAUGAGAGCUUCUUCUGUGAGUAAGAGGUUUAGAAUUUGAUUAUUGCAGUCUUUCAUUUUUCUAAAUAAAAGUAAAAUUUUGGCACACAUUGUAAAUGCUUCAAACCCAUAUGAGGCUUUUGGUUGGUGGUUUGGAAAAUUCACGUUGAUAAAAUAAAUGAAGUUCAAAAUUUGCGUAGAUGUUCUAAACUAAAACUGUUUACACGUCCUGUCCUGAACACCUCUAUAUACGAUUUACAUGUAAAUAGCAUAAAUCGAGUCAAUUUGAUUCGAUUUAUAUAGAGGUGUUCAGGACAGGGCAUGUGACCAGUUUUGAUUUAGGACAUUUGUGUAAUUUUAAACUCUAUUUAUUUUUAUCAAUGUAAAUUACCCUCAUAUAAAGGUAUAAAAUCAUUUGUGUGCCUCUACCCAAUAACUUGAGAUAGUUCAUGAAAAUGUUAUUAUAUUUUUCCUUUAUGGAUGGGGGUGCUUCUCCAUUUUAUAUUUCUUUUGUGCAUUCUCUAUGUCGGUGCAUGGGAAGUUGUUUUCUUAUUCGCAGAUGGUUUUUAACUUGGAAAUUAAUUUACUUAUUUUUUUUCCCUCUCCCUCCUUCAACAACUAGAGUAUGACAUUUUGGAAUAUGUUGUGAGUGAGCACUUGGUAGUUGGUACUUGGUAGACGUGAUAAACUAAAAGAUGAUGGUCUAAGAAUAUGCGACUGAAUUAUCAUGCCUUAAGGCUUUGUGUCAGGAUAUGUGACUGAAUCUUGUUGGUGAUGUUUCAAUUUACUGAUUUAAGGCAUCAAUUAAUUUUUUUAUGAAAGAUUUACGCAUUAUUUGUGAUGACUAAGCAACAGAUUAUAGGUUGUCCCCUAUAUAUUGUUUUAUUAUGAUGUAGGCAUAAGAAAGACAGAAGCCAGUGGCAGCCAAGAAGAUUAAUUAGGAAUUUAAUAUUAGUUUGAUAUAGUGUUUGAGUUUUUCUUUAGUUGAUUAUUGUGGUUAGUUUGAUAAAGUGUUUGAUAUGUUUGCUUAGUUAUUUAUUGUUUAUGUCGCUUUUGGUAUUUUCGGGUUCUGUUGGUUUGGGGAGGAUGUAUGUGUUGUUACUAUGCUUACUCCCUAAAGUUCUGGAAUUGUCAUGAGUGUUCAUAAAUUAUAAAAGAAAAAAAUCAAAAUUUCAAUCCUAAAUUUGUCUCAUGUAUUUUUACUAGAUUACAUUUUUUUUACAUGAUUGUGGAAUUUUAUUUUGUAUUUUAUUCACUAGAAAACAAAAAAUUACUUGUCAGUGUUAUUUAUGUCAUAUGCUAAUACUUUGACUAUAGAUGAUAUUUUGCAGAAUAAAUUGUGUCUGGAGUUCCACUCUCUUGAAAUUAAAACCCAUAAAAAAAUUCAAAGCAUAGUUCCCUCAUUAGUCACCUCUUUCACCAAAGAGUUUAACUCAAAUAUAUCAUACAGAUGAUAUGAAUUCUAUCUUCAUUUCUUGUACCAUGUCCUGAUAAGUAAGAUUUGGAAUCGAGAUAUUUUUUCUUAUUUUAUUGUUGCUAAAUACAUGCAUAUCCAUGUUGGUAUUAUUUUAUAAUUUAUUCAACAACUUUCUAUUUUUAGGAAUAAUUUAUCUCUCACACCGCCAAUUCUUCUUUUCUGUUAAUUUUUUUUAAUAUUUGUAUUUGUUUGAAGACCCCCACUUUACUUUCUUUGCUCACUUUAAACUAUAUUCUUUUUACUUGAUGAAGAAAAGAGUGAAGACAAUCAACCACUUUAGUUAUUUGUACUUUGUAUUUUCCAAUUAUGUAUUCUACAAAGUUUUUCUUGUUGAUUUUUUUUUAGAUUUCCAACUUGGUCAUAAAUUUGAUCACUUUUUGUAUAUUAAGCUUUUAACUGAAAUGUCUGACUUGCAUGAUAGGUGGUUGAUGAAAUUAAAUUUUCCAUUGACCACUGGAUUUUGAUUAUAUACAAGAAAUGUAUGUAACAACAGGGUUGUGUUGCAUUUCUAUGGUAUUUAGAUUUUGAUUCAUAGAAGAAAUAUAGUUUCAAUUCGAUUUAUAUCGGUCUUCCUCAUCAUCUGCAAGUAGCCCAGCAAGUAGGUGUCAUCAAGUUCUACCUCAAAAAAUCGAAUUCUCUUUGACAACCAAUCUCAUUUAAAGUUGAAGAAGGAGGAGACUAUCAAUGUUGCAACCUCAGCUUCAUUUUCGCUUUCAAGCUCAAUUAUGGCUCCUUGGUAUCUCCAUAUGGUUCAUAUAUAUUGGAAGCUGCAGUUCUUCUUCAUAAGAUCGUUGGUGCUUCUGUUGCGUGGUGAGAUUUGAAUGUUACCAUAAAAAACAAAAGGAAGUACUUUGAUGAUGUUAUUACUUAUUAAGAGUUCAACUGCAACUUCCUUUAUUGUUGUUCAAUAAUAAGUAUAUUUGUAUUCUUAAAGCUAAAUUGGAAAUUAUGUUCUUCUUUAUUUCGAGAAGAUUGCAUCCCUCAACCAGGACUUAUGGUGAAAAGUUUGUAGAUGGGGAAAAUCACACUUUGUUUAUUAGCAUGCAUUGUAAUUUGGCUUUUUUGUUUUUUGUGUUUAGAUUUAACUUCUACCAUACCAACUAGCUACAUAUUUUGUUGUGGAGGAUAUAAUUGUUUUUGUUGUUGACUUUUUUCAGUGGAUUAAUAUUUUGUAGUAUA